GAUGAACGCUAGCUACAGGCUUACACAUGCAAGUCGAGGGGUCUCGAAGGAGCUUGCUCUUUAGUGACGACCGGCGCACGGGUGAGUAACGCGUAUCCAACCUGCCCUUCAUAUUGGGAUAGCCUUCCGAAAGGGAGAUUAAUACCGAAUAACAUGAGAGGAUUGCAUGAACCUCUCAUGAAAGCUCCGGCGAUGAAGGAUGGGGAUGCGUUCCAUUAGGUAGUAGGCGGGGUAACGGCCCACCUAGCCGAAGAUGGAUAGGGGUUCUGAGAGGAAGGUCCCCCACACUGGAACUGAGACACGGUCCAGACUCCUACGGGAGGCAGCAGUGAGGAAUAUUGGUCAAUGGGCGCAAGCCUGAACCAGCCAAGUAGCGUGAAGGAAGACUGCCCUAUGGGUUGUAAACUUCUUUUAUACGGGAACAAACCCCGGUACGUGUACCGGAUUGCGUGUACCGUAUGAAUAAGCAUCGGCUAACUCCGUGCCAGCCGCCGCCGUAACAC
rnacentral:rRNA from 1 species